GAUUUCAACUAAAAAAGUCAUGAACAAUAAAGUUGUAUAACUCGUCAAGAUCUGUAACUUUUAUUUUUGUAAUUUCUUCAUCCGAUAAAGUGUUGGUAACAUUGUUCACAAAAUUUACAUAUAUGUGUUAUAGUUUAUAAAACUAGAUGAAAAAUAUGUGAAUUUUGUGAACAAUAUUAUUAUCACUUUGUUGGAUGAAGAAAUGACCAAAAUGAAAGUUAUAGGUCUUGAUGAAUUAUAUAACUUUGUUGUUGAUGACUUUUUUUGUUCAAAUC
rnacentral:pre_miRNA from 2 species